rnacentral:rRNA from 1 species
UACGAGGGGGGCGAGCGUUGUUCGGAAUUAUUGGGCGUAAAGGGUGCGUAGGCGGUUUGGUAAGUCUUAUGUGAAAUCUAUGGGCUCAACUCAUAGUCUGCAUGAGAAACUGCCGGGCUUGAGUAUGGGAGAGGUGAGUGGAAUUCCUGGUGUAGCGGUGAAAUGCGUAGAUAUCAGGAGGAACACCUGUGGCGAAAGCGGCUCACUGGACCAUAACUGACGCUGAUGCACGAAAGCCAGGGGAGCAAACGGG